UAGAACAUCGCCUUCGGGAUGCACUCAGAUC
rnacentral:piRNA from 1 species